rnacentral:rRNA from 1 species
AGCAUAUCAAUAAGCGGAGGAAAAGAAACCAACAGGGAUUGCCCUAGUAACGGCGAGUGAAGCGGCAACAGCUCAAAUUUGAAAUCUGGCUCCGGCCCGAGUUGUAAUUUGCAGAGGAAGCUUCUGGUGAUGUACCGUCUAAGUCCCCUGGAACGGGGCGCCACAGUGGGUGAGAGCCCCAUUUGACGGAUGCAGAUCCUGUGUGAAGCUCCUUCGACGAGUCGAGUAGUUUGGGAAUGCUGCUCAAAAUGGGAGGUAAAUUCCUUCUAAAGCUAAAUAUUGGCCAGAGACCGAUAGCGCACAAGUAGAGUGAUCGAAAGAUGAAAAGCACUUUGAAAAGAGGGUUAAACAGCACGUGAAAUUGUUGAAAGGGAAGCGCUUGUGACCAGACUUGCGCUGGACUGAUCAUCCGGUGUUCUCACCGGUGCACUCGGCCCAGCUCAGGCCAGCAUCGGUUUUGGUGGGGGGAUAAAGGCGCCGGGAACGUAGCUCCUUCGGGAGUGUUAUAGCCCAGCGUGCAAUGCCCCCGCUGGGACCGAGGUUCGCGCAUCUGCAAGGAUGCUGGCGUAAUGGUCAUCAGCGACCCGUCUUGAAACACGGACCAAGGAGUCAAGGUUUUGCGCGAGUGUUUGGGUGUCAAACCCGCACGCGUAAUGAAAGUGAACGUAGGUGAGAGCUUCGGCGCAUCAUCGACCGAUCCUGAUGUAUUCGGAUGGAUUUGAGUAGGAGCGUUAAGCCUUGGACCCGAAAGAUGGUGAACUAUGCUUGGAUAGGGUGAAGCCAGAGGAAACUCUGGUGGAGGCUCGCAGCGGUUCUGACGUGCAAAUCGAUCGUCAAAUCUGAGCAUGGGGGCGAAAGACUAAUCGAACCAUCUAGUAGCUGG